CGAUCACGUUCAGAGUUUGAUCCUGGCUCAGGACGAACGCUGGCGGCGUGCUUAACACAUGCAGGUUGAACGUAGAAUUUUUAAUAGAUUUCUUCGGAAUGAAUUAAAAAGGAAAGUAGCGAACGGGUGAGUAACACGUGAGAAACCUGCCUUUCACAAAGGGAUAGCCUCGGGAAACCGGGAUUAAUACCUUAUGACACGGAGAUAUCGCAUGAUAAUUCGUUAAAGAAUUUCGGUGAAAGAUGGUCUCGCGUCUGAUUAGCUAGUUGGUAAGGUAACGGCUUACCAAGGCGACGAUCAGUAGCCGGAUUGAGAGGUUGAACGGCCACACUGGAACUGAGACACGGUCCAG
rnacentral:rRNA from 1 species